rnacentral:lncRNA from 1 species
GUCAACUGAAUGCCAUUGCAGUAUAAUAAGGAGCAACAUUGACCAUUCAGAUUAAAAGUUUUGAUUCUAAAGGCUUUUAACAGUUUUCAAUGGUUCUUGCUGUCGUUUUUACCAGUUCUAUUAAUUACUAAUCAUUUUUACAGUUACUGUUAACCAAUUUUUCAGUUUUUUGGUGCUUUCCGUGAUUUUUCGUUUUUUUCAGUUUUUACCUUAAUUUUUUUUAUGGAAAGUACUAAGAAUCCUGGGCACUUUCACAUGGAGUUUUCUCAAAUUAAGGAUACCAUCUCUAAGUUUAAGGAGCUACAACAAAAGUUUAAUCAAAGUUAUGACAAUAUUCAUGAUAAAGUUAGUUAUAAUAAAAAUAUGAGAUCAAAUGUAAAGACAGCAGUAAAGGGAAGUACUUUGGUAAUGAAAGAAGUGUUUGAGGAACUACUGUAUUUUCCUGUAUAUAAUCCGCAGCGGCGUAUUAUCCACAAAG